rnacentral:tRNA from 1 species
GGACGAUUAGCUCAGUUGGCUAGAGUACUACAUUGACAUUGUAGGGGUCACUGGUUCAAAUCCAGUAUCGUCCA